rnacentral:rRNA from 1 species
UACGAACCGUCCAAACGUUACUCGGAAUCACUGGGCGUAAAGGGUGCGUAGGUGGCGCGCUAAGUCAGGUGUGAAAUUUCGGAGCUCAACUCCGAAACUGCAUUUGAUACUGGCGUGCUUGAGGACUGGAGAGGAGACUGGAAUUUACGGUGUAGCAGUGAAAUGCGUAGAGAUCCGGAAGAACACCGGUGGCGAAGGCGGUCUGCUGGGCAGUUGCUGACACUGAGGCGCGACAGCGUGGGGAGCAAACAGG